rnacentral:tRNA from 2 species
UCCGCUAUGGCGCAGUUGGACAGCGCACAUCGCAUUACCUAUCCAGUGACCUCUUAGGGGGUUGCUCUUUACAGCGGUGAGGUCCAAGGUUCGAGUCCUUGUGGUGGAA